AUGAUACUGCUCGGCUGCGAGCCACAGCUGCUCGCCCUCUACCAGAGCGGCGACCACGACCCGGCGUCCGGCUGCAUCAGGCCGCUCAACGACCUCGCCGAGCUGCACAACCGCACGCUGAACGGCAUGCUCCGAGAGCUCCGGCGAGCGCACCCGGGGACGGCCAUCCUCUACGUCGACCUCUACGACGCCGUCGCCGACCUCAUCGCGUCGCCCCGGAAAUAUGGGUUCAGGGAUGAGCCGCUGGCGGCGUGUUGCGGCGCGUACAACUUCAACAUGACGGCGUUCUGCGGCGCGGCCGGGACGGCGGCGUGCGCCGACCCGUCCGAGUACGUGUCAUGGGACGGAGUGCACUUCACGGAGGCCGCCAAUAGGCACACGGCCUGCGCCACGUUGAAGACCAACUCGCCUGCUCUGCUCGACUCGUGGACGGCGGAGGCGAGACAAAGGAUUGGGUGCGCCUAA
rnacentral:rRNA from 1 species